ACCCAGGUGGUCCAAUGGUUAGGACGUUCCCCCUUUUCUGGCGCUCGCGCCGGACAGAUUGGGAUAGAUCAGGGUUCAAGUCCCUGCUUGGGCA